rnacentral:rRNA from 1 species
AGUGAACGCUGGCGGUAGGCCUAACACAUGCAAGUCGAACGGCAGCACAGGAGAGCUUGCUCUCUGGGUAAAGGCGAGUGGCGGACGGGUGAGGAAUACAUCGGAAUCUACUCUGUCGUGGGGGAUAACGUAGGGAAACUUACGCUAAUACCGCAUACGACGAUCACCUACGGGUGAAAGCAGGGGACCUUCGGGCCUUGCGCGAUUGAAUGAGCCGAUGUCGGAUUAGCUAGUUGGCGGGGUAAAGGCCCACCAAGCUCGCGACGAUCCGUAGCUGGUCUGAGAGGAUAAGGGCCAUGAUGAUCAGCCACACUGGAACUGAGACACGGUCCAGACUCCUACGGGAGGCAGGGCCAGUGGGGAAUAUUGGACAAUGGGCGCAAGCCUGAUCCAGCCAUACCGCGUGGGUGAAGAAGGCCUUCGGUUAACCCAACAUGUUGUAAAGCAUCCCUUUUGUUGGGAAAGAAAUCCAGCCGGCUAAUACCUGGUUGGGAUGACGGUACCCAAAGAAUAAGCACCGGCUAACUUCGUGCCAGCAGUCUCCGCGGUAAUACGAAGGGUGCGCGUUGCAUCGCAAGCGUUACUCGGAAUUACUGGGCGUAAAGCGUGCGUAGGUGGUCGUUUAAGUCCGUUUGAGUGAAAGCCCUGGGCUCAACCUGGGAACUGCAGUGGAUACUGGGCGACUAGAAUGUGGUAGCUGCGUGCCAAAAGGGUAGCGGAAUUCCUGCAAGUGUAGCAGUGAAAUGCGUAGAGAUCAGGAGGAACAUCCAUGGCGAAGGCAGCUACCUGGACCAACAUUGACACUGAGGCACGAAAGCGUGGUGGGGAGCAAACACUGCCUUCGCCAGGAUUAGAUACCCUGGUAGUCCACGCCCUAAACGAUGCGAACUGGAUGUUGGGUGCAAUUUGGCACGCUUUAGUAUCGAAGCUAACGCGUUAAGUUCGCCGCCUGGGGAGUACGGUCGCAAGAAGGGCUUUCACACUGAAACUCAAAGGAAUUGACGGGGGCACCCCGCACAAGCGGUGGAGUAUGUGGUUUAAUUCGAUGCAACGCGAAGAACCUUACCUGGCCUUGACAUGUCGAGAACUUUCCGGAGAUGGAUGCGGCUUUGGGUACCGGUGCCUUCGGGAACUCGAACACAGGUGCUGCAUGGCUGUCGUCAGCUCGUGUCGUGAGAUGCUUUUGGGUUAAGUCCCGCAACGAGCGCAACCCUUGUCCUUAGUUGCCAGCACGUAAUGGUGUUGUCCAAUAUUGGAACUCUAAGGAGACCGCCCUGGGUGACAAACCGGAGGAAGGUGGGGAUGACGUCAAGUCAUCAUGGCCCUUACGGCCAGGGCUACACACGUACUACAAUGGUAGGGACAGAGCUUGGCUGCAAGCAACUAGCUAAUCCGGCGACGGUAAGCCAAUCCCAGAAACCCUAUCUCAGUCCGGAUUGGAGUCUGCAACUCGACUCCAUGAUCGAGUCGGAAUCGCUAGUAAUCGCAGAUCAGCAUUGCUGCGGUGAAUACGUUCCCGGGCCUUGUACACACCGCCCGUCACACCAUGGGAGUUUACCGUUGCACCAGAAGCAGGUAGCUUAACCUUCGGGAGGGCGCUUGCCACGGUGUGGCCGAUGACUGGGGUG